ACACAUGCACACACACAUGCAUACAUGCACAUGUGCACACACACAUAUACACAUGCACACAGCACACUUAUGCCCAUACACCCUCACACAGUCUCACAGUCACACACAUGCACUCAUGUUCAUGCCCAGGGUCCGGAGCUGUUCCCUGGGAAGCCUUUCCCGCUCUCUAUAGGAUUGUGAUGGGGAUGCAGGCACAGCCGAUGACGUCUCACACCCUCCUCAGUGGAGCUCCCAGGCUGGGGGCGUUCCCAGGGGCUCUUCCUUUGCUCCAGGUUCCAGUGAGUGCUUGUGUGGAGCUGCUGCUCUGUGUGCCUGAGCUGCGGAUAUCCAGUGGAGUCUGUGACAUUGCCGCUCCUUCUCACCCUGAGUGCCUGCAAGCACCAAUCAGCCGUGUUAUUGAAGUCUGGGCAUUCAGGGCUGUGCAGUUCCCCGAAAAGCACAUGAGGCAGAGUAGAGAAGGCCUUGGUGUCCUACGGGUUUAGAACUUUUAGCUUUUUAAUAUAUUGUUGCGAAAAAUGGCAGCCCUGCUGCAGCCCCUGUGGGAAGUCAGGGCUGAGCAGGCCUGUGGGGUGAAGCCGGCAGCCCCUCUUUGGCCUCCGGGGUCAGGGGAGCAGAAUACGAAGCUGAGCAUUCCUGAGGAUCUGUUCUGGACACCUGCAGAAAGCCCUGGAAGCCCAACCCAUGGCCACACAUCCUUCAGGAGCCGUCCGGCCGCAGCGGGUGGCUGGAGAGACCCUGUGUCCGCCGCUCCCCCUGCCACAGGCCACACAGACCCUGCUGCACCGGGUGGCUGGAGAAUGAGACCCUGUGUCCACAGCCUGAGGCUGCCCCCGCCGCAGGGCACACAGACCCGUGAUCCGGGCAGCCCAUCCUGUCGGAGCCACCUCUAUUUCCCAGGUGUCUGAUGUGUGCCAGUUUCCAGGCUGAAGAUGAAUACGAGUGGGCCCGCCUAGUCUGAAAACUCAGUUGCUGUUUUAAAAGGGACUUCAGAAACUUCAGACCUUCUGGGCCACACACAUGGGUCAUGUGACCCUUUCCACCCACUCCACUUAGGAAGCCCCAAACCCUCUAAGGAGCAGGCUAUGUCGGUUCUCCUAAGGAGCUCCCAGGCACCCUGCUGUCCUUGUUGGCGGAACAGCCCGGCCUGGUGGAUGGUAUUGUCCCACUUUCCAGAGGAGAAAGCAGAGGGUUUGGGGAGUCUGCUCUAAGUUACACAGAGCUGCUGCAAGAUUUAGGAUUAGAACUCGAUGUCUGGAACAGCCGCCGACCUCAGAAGUUAGGUUCGAACACAAUUUCCACAAACUCCGUGUCUCUGAAACCCCACAUGGGUGAUGCUUCCAAGGGGUUUGCAGCAUCCAGCCAGAGUCGUUGAUUGUGCUGAGUGGGAAAAAGGGUCAAAAUAAAUGUGUGCUACCAUCA